UUCUUUCUCAGAGAACGUAGGAUUUCUAGAAAUGGAAGGAGCACUGAGUGCCAGAAGCAGUCCAAUGUCACCUCCUGAGCGAGACCUUCUCAUGGGCCUCAUCUGUGAGGAGAAGAUCCUCCAAGACAGGAGGACAGACGGGAAGGUUGUCCUCCAGAAGAGGGCAGCGUGGGCCCGAAUCACGCGCCUGUUUAAUUCCCACAACCUUGGACCGCAGCGCACUGAGCAGCAACUCAAGAAAGUUUGGGAGCGUUUAAAAGUAAAGGCAAAACAAGAACAUGCAGUGAAGAGGCGGGAGGACAUGAGAACUGGUGGAGGUGCCCCUCCUGCGGAUCUGCCAAAAGAAUCGGACCAAGUGCUGACAAUACUUGGCACGGAUUUGCACGACAUAGGAAAUCCGUUUGACCUCGAUGCAAUGCCAGCCAUGUCCAAGUCGCACCGACAAAGUCUACUCAUCCGAUUUACCAAGUCUCUCUUUGUGAGAGGUAAGAUUUUGGUGGUGAU